GAAUCAGUACGCUGGUCGUGCCUUCGGUAUGUACUGGUGUCACUGGUUUCUCCCUUCUGAAGAACCAUCAUGCCAUUUACUUGGUGUGGUGGGGAAUCAGGACUGUUACUUUGAAAAAAUUAGAGUGUUUAAAGCAGGCAUCCGCUUGAAUACAUUAGCAUGGAAUAACAGAAUAAGACU
rnacentral:rRNA from 1 species